UACGAGGGGGGCAAGCGUUGUUCGGAAUUAUUGGGCGUAAAGGGCGCGUAGGCGGCUUGGCAAGUCCGGGGUGAAAGCCCCCAGCCCAACUGGGGAAGUGCCUCGGAGACUGCCAAGCUCGAGCGGGAUAGGGGCAGCUGGAACUUUCGGUGGAGCGGUGAAAUGCGUAGAUAUCGGAAGGAACGCCGGUGGCGAAAGCGGGCUGCUGGAUCCCCCCUGACGCUGAGGCGCGAAAGCCAGGGGAGCGAACGGG
rnacentral:rRNA from 1 species